AAGGGAGACCUAAUUCGGGUAUAAGACGAAAAAAGAGUAGUCGAAACCAAGAAUCAAUCCCAAAAGGUCGGAACGAGGUAUGUGGCUUUCAAACUAGGUUCUGGGUUCACACAAGACCUGAAUCAGGAACAAGGGCUAUUAGCUCAGGUGGUUAGAGCGCACCCCUGAUAAGGGUGAGGUCCCUGGUUCGAGUCCAGGAUGGCCCACCUGCACAGGUGGCAAAAACAAAGAAGCGAGGAAUCAGCACCUUAUCUUAUCUAUAUAUAAGAGAGAAUGCUGGCUCUGAGUAAAGAGUCCAGAGGAACCUUGAAAACUGCAUAGAGCUAGGUGGAAAAGCCAAAAAAGAAGACCGCAA
rnacentral:tRNA from 1 species